rnacentral:rRNA from 1 species
UAUACGACCGUACCGCAAACCGACACUGGUGCGCGAGAUGAGUAUUCUAAGGCGCUUGAGAGAACUCAGGAGAAGGAACUCGGCAAAUUGACACCGUAACUUCGGAAGAAGGUGUGCCCUAUUAGUGUGUAGUGAACAACGAAGCAUGAAUGGGUUGCAAAAAAUCGGUGGCUGCGACUGUUUAUUAAAAACACAGCACUCUGCAAACACGAAAGUGGACGUAUAGGGUGUGACGCCUGCCCGGUGCUGGAAGAUUAAAUGGUGGGGUGCAAGCUCUUGAUUGAAGUCCCAGUAAACGGCGGCCGUAACAAUAACGGUCCUAAGGUAGCGAAAUUCCUUGUCGGGUAAGUUCCGACCUGCACGAAUGGCGUAACGAUGGCCACACUGUCUCCUCCUGAGACUCAGCGAAGUUGAAAUGUUUGUGAUGAUGCAAUCUCCCCGCGGAAAGACGGAAAGACCCCAUGAACCUUUACUGUAGCUUUGUAUUGGACUUUGAACAGAUCUGUGUAGGAUAGGUGGGAGGCUUUGAAGCAGGGUCGCUAGAUCUUGUGGAGCCAACGUUGAAAUACCACCCUGGUGUGUUUGAGGUUCUAACCUAGGUCCAUUAUCUGGAUCGGGGACAGUGCAUGGUAGGCAGUUUGACUGGGGCGGUCUCCUCCCAAAGCGUAACGGAGGAGUUCGAAGGUACGCUAGUUACGGUCGGACAUCGUGACGAUAGUGCAAUGGCAUAAGCGUGCUUAACUGCGAGACUGACAAGUCGAGCAGAUGCGAAAGCAGGACAUAGUGAUCCGGUGGUUCUGUAUGGAAGGGCCAUCGCUCAACGGAUAAAAGGUACUCUGGGGAUAACAGGCUGAUACCGCCCAAGAGUUCAUAUCGACGGCGGUGUUUGGCACCUCGAUGUCGGCUCAUCUCAUCCUGGGGCUGUAGCCGGUCCCAAGGGUAUGGCUGUUCGCCAUUUAAAGAGGUACGUGAGCUGGGUUUAAAACGUCGUGAGACAGUUUGGUCCCUAUCUUCCGUGGUCGCUGCAGAUUUGAGGAAGUCUGCUCCUAGUACGAGAGGACCGGAGUGGACACACCUCUGGUGUAUCGGUUGUCACGCCAGUGGCAUUGCCGAGUAGCUAAGUGUGGAAGAGAUAACCGCUGAAAGCAUCUAAGCGGGAAACUCGUUUCAAGAUGAGAUCUGCCGGGGCCUUGAGCCCCCUAAAGAGUCGUUCAAGACCAGGACGUUGAUAGGUCAGGUGUGGAAGC